AAAGGGAGACCUAAUUCGGGUAUAAGACGAAAAAAUAGUAGUCGAAACCAAGAAUCAAUCCCAAAAGGUCGGAACGAGGUAUGUGGCUUUCAAACUAGGUUCUGGGUUCAUAAAAGACCUGAAUCAGGAACAAGGGCUAUUAGCUCAGGUGGUUAGAGCGCACCCCUGAUAAGGGUGAGGUCCCUGGUUCGAGUCCAGGAUGGCCCACCUGCACAGGUGGCAAAAACAAAGAAAAGAAGCGAGGAAUCAGCACCUUAUCUUACUUAUAUAGUAAGAGAGAAUGCUGGCUCUGGGUAAAGAGUCCAGAGGAACCUUGAAAACUGCAUAGAGCUAGGUGAAAAAGCCAAAAAAGAAGACCGCAAG
rnacentral:tRNA from 1 species